UACGUAGGGGGCAAGCGUUGUCCGGAUUUAUUGGGCGUAAAGAGCGUGUAGGCGGCUUUGCAAGUCCGUUGUGAAAACUCGAGGCUCAACCUCGAGACGCCGGUGGAAACUGCAAAGCUAGAGUCCGGAAGAGGAGAGUGGAAUUCCUGGUGUAGCGGUGAAAUGCGUAGAGAUGUGGAGGAACACCAGUGGCGAAGGCGACUCUUUGGCCUGUAACUGACACUGAGGCGCGAAAGCGUGGGGAGCAAACAGG
rnacentral:rRNA from 1 species